rnacentral:rRNA from 1 species
GAUGAACGCUGGCGGCGUGCCUAAUACAUGCAAGUCGAGCGAACAGACGAGGAGCUUGCUCCUCUGACGUUAGCGGCGGACGGGUGAGUAACACGUGGAUAACCUACCUAUAAGACUGGGAUAACUUCGGGAAACCGGAGCUAAUACCGGAUAAUAUAUUGAACCGCGUGGUUCAAUAGUGAAAGACGGUUUUGCUGUCACUUAUAGAUGGAUCCGCGCCGCAUUAGCUAGUUGGUAAGGUAACGGCUUACCAAGGCGACGAUGCGUAGCCGACCUGAGAGGGUGAUCGGCCACACUGGAACUGAGACACGGUCCAGACUCCUACGGGAGGCAGCAGUAGGGAAUCUUCCGCAAUGGGCGAAAGCCUGACGGAGCAACGCCGCGUGAGUGAUGAAGGUCUUCGGAUCGUAAAACUCUGUUAUUAGGGAAGAACAAAUGUGUAAGUAACUAUGCACGUCUUGACGGUACCUAAUCAGAAAGCCACGGCUAACUACGU